UAUUAUUUCUUCCCAAAAAGUGAAACAUUCCGAGCGACUUGCGAGAGACCAAUUUGAGAGAGAAAACGAUUGUGAGAGAGACAGCAAAAGAAAAGAGAGAGCGACGCAAAGAGAAGAGAGAAGACUAAGAAGAAAGAAGUCCUUGAGUGACCCCCUGCCAGAGAUUGAUAACAUCUUCUCAUUUGGGAUCCUCUGGACAAAGAGGUGUCAGAGAUGGGCUUGUGUUCAAGCAAGGACCGCCUUUACAUAGAAGGCUAUCGCCAGGGCUCACAGUGGAUCUACAGGAGGAGGAGAGGAUCUGUAAGAUCACUGAUUUGGAGAGCAUGAGGAAGGACAUCCUUGGCGAAAUAAAAUGGACAAGCUAUGAUUAUUGUGUAGCUAGAGACAGCCUGGAAUUAACAAGGUGGUGGAAAAUAAGAUUUAUGGCUGAGGUCCUGCAGGACAAGAUAAAGGCCAAAGCCCAACUGAAAUCCCUCUACAAACAACUAGAGGAGAUAAACUGGGCAAUUUUCAGGAAGUACAUGGAAACAUAUCCAGAGAGCCCACCCACCACCAGCACCGUUGCAGUUUACAUGGUACCACGUAUCGAUGCACCUCUGUGUAGGUGAUCUUCAUGACACAGAGGUGAGUGAGCCAUUCUCAAUUCCACCAGCGGUGCCUCCACUCCAACACACCAUGAUUCCACCAGUGGUGCUCCCCCCUUACACCUAAAAUAUGGUUCCAUAGACAGGAGCACCCUUAGGUCACUUGGUAGACCCUAUAUU